AUUGAACGCUGGCGGCAGGCUUAACACAUGCAAGUCGAGCGGAGAUGAGGUGCUUGCACCUUAUCUUAGCGGCGGACGGGUGAGUAAUGCUUAGGAAUCUGCCUAUUAGUGGGGGACAACAUUCCGAAAGGAAUGCUAAUACCGCAUACGUCCUACGGGAGAAAGCAGGGGAUCUUCGGACCUUGCGCUAAUAGAUGAGCCUAAGUCGGAAUAGCUAGUUGGUGGGGUAAAGGCCUACCAAGGCGACGAUCUGUAGCGGGUCUGAGAGGAUGAUCCGCCACACUGGGACUGAGACACGGCCCAGACUCCUACGGGAGGCAGCAGUGGGGAAUAUUGGACAAGGGGGGAAACCCUGAUCCAGCCAUGCCGCGUGUGUGAAGAAGGCCUUAUGGUUGUAAAGCACUUUAAGCGAGGAGGAGGCUACUGAGACUAAUACUCUUGGAUAGUGGACGUUACUCGCAGAAUAAGCACCGGCUAACUCUGUGCCAGCAGCCGCAGUAAUAC
rnacentral:rRNA from 1 species